AAUAUUUUGAAUAAAUAUUGUGGGUCAAUAGUUGAAAGUGCGACCAAGGAAACUCAAUUGAAAGACAAAGAAAUUGAAAACAUUAAGGUUCAAAAUGAUGGUGGGAGUAGCAGCUUUACCAAUGUACAUGAAUCAGUGAACAUCAGUGACAAUGAGGCAACAAAGAGACAACUCGAAGAAGAAACAUCAACUGACCCAAAACUCGUGAAUAAAAGAGGGAAGAGAGUUGUGAUCAAGAAGGAGAAGCCCUAAAGUAGCAUUUAGUUUUAUGAUGUUUUAGUAAUUAGUACUUUAUGAUUUGCACUUUCAAAUUUCGUACUUUAGAAUUGUAAUUUUAAA